rnacentral:lncRNA from 1 species
UGGAAGGGGAGUGAGCAGACACACUCGGGAGGUGUCUUGAGAUUAUCAUCCACUGAGGGUGGAGCUGAGGGUGGAAGGGGAGUGAGCAGACACUCGGGAGGUGUCUUGAGAUUAUCAUCCGCUGAGGGUGGAAGGGGAUAGAGCAGACACUCCGCAGGUGUCUUGAGGCUCAGGGAGUUAUCAAUUAUAGAAUGUUGUUGAGUUGGAGGAGGUGGCUGGUGGCCCAUCCUGUUUUUUAAAGUUUCAGCUGUGAGGUA